CCUCAGUAACGGCGAGUGAAGCGGCAAAAGCUCAAAUUUGAAAUCUGGCUCUUUUAGGGUCCGAGUUGUAAUUUGUAGAAGAUGUUUCGGGUGUGGCUCCGGUUUAAGUUCUUUGGAAUAUUACAUCAUAGAGGGUGAGAAUCCCGUAUGUGACCGGCAGCCUUCGCCUAUGUGAAACUCUUUCGACGAGUCGAGUUGUUUGGGAAUGCAGCUCAAAAUGGGAGGUAUAUUUCUUCUAAAGCUAAAUAUUGGCCAGAGACCGAUAGCGCACAAGUAGAGUGAUCGAAAGAUGAAAAGCACUUUGGAAAGAGAGUUAAACAGUACGUGAAAUUGUUGAAAGGGAAGCGCUUGCAACCAGACUUGCACGCAGUUGAUCAUCCGGUGUUCUCACCGGGGCACUCUGCUGCGUUCAGGCCAGCAUCGGUUUUGGUGGUUGGAUAAAGGCCUUGGGAAUGUGGCUUCCUUCGGGGAGUGUUAUAGCCCUCGGUGCAAUGCAGCCUACCGGGACCGAGGACCGCGCUUCGGCUAGGAUGCUGGCGUAAUGGUUGUAAGCGACCCGUCUUGAAACACGGACCAAGGAGUCUAACAUCUAUGCGAGUGUUUGGGUGUUAAACCCAUACGCGUAAUGAAAGUGAACGGAGGUGAGAACCCUUAAGGGUGCAUCAUCGACCGGUCCUGAUGUCUUCGGAUGGAUCUGAGUAAGAGCAUAGCUGUUGGGACCCGAAAGAUGGUGAACUAUGCGUGAAUAGGGUGAAGCCAGAGGAAACUCUGGU
rnacentral:rRNA from 1 species